rnacentral:ribozyme from 1 species
AAGCAACAGCUGAGCUUCUAAAGACUCAUCCACACGCUAAAUUUUUGAUGGAUCAGCAGCUGGAGGUCGACUAUCUCGAUUCUCUCGAAACCUUGAUUAAGAAUGGAAAACCUCUUGUGAUCCCUGUGAAUAUGGCUGUUCUUGAGAAAUAGCAUCCUGACAUGCAUGCAAUUUUUAUUGGUCUUUCUGGCCUCUAAAACGAGGGAGUAUGUCAUCUCGGUUUAAAUUUCAAAUAAAUGCCAAGGAAGAAAAAAGAUUAAUAAACGUGGAGCGUGACGGGGGGUGGUGGGUGGUGGGUUGUU